CUGAUCUUGGGGCGUGCCAUCUUCCUCUUCUCUGUCAGGUGCAGUGAGUAGGUGGUAUUCUUUGUAGGGGCCAAGUCGCCCUCCCUUCCCUAGUGUCUUCUUGUCCUCCACCUGGAGCCACCGAAGCAGCGGAAUUCGGCGGUAGUGAGGGCAGGGCGCAGGAAUCUCUCUGGCACCGACCCCCAUGAGAGCACUUGGCAAGAAUCUCCUUGAUGCUAGAAUCUGGAUCUGCUGCAACAUCUGCUGGACUCAGAAACCAGUUCUCGCCAGGGAAUCUCUCCGAGUCCGCAGAGAAGAGGGAAGAUGCGAAUUCCUGCGAGAACAUGGUUCAAGGAAAAUACAUUAUUACUAAGAAAAGUAAGCUUGGAUUUCAAAAAAAAAAAAGUCUCUGCUGCCUACUUGUUAGAACGUGUCUGAACAGAAUCUAGUUUGAAGCACAGAGACAUCAGUUUGAAAAGAAACCUUAUCAGAGCAACAUGCAUCUGCUAAAACUGAAGCAAUGACAAGCAUCAAGCUUAUAGUGAAGGCUGAGAAGUAUAGUGAAAUCAUUGAAGCUUUACAAAAAGUUUACGGGGGCAAUGUCUCCUAAAAAUCAGCCGUUUACAAGUAGGCAGCUCUUUUUAAGAAGGGAUUAAACAGUGUUGAAGGUGGCACCUACAGAUGCAGACCAUCUGCAUCAAUUUGUGAGGAAAAUGUUAGUUUUGUUCGUCUAUGCCCUGAUAGAAGAGAAUGGGCAGUUAACAACAAAAACAGUAGUUGACACCAUAGACCUCUCGGUUCAACUUACACAGUUCUGACUGAAAAAUUAAGGUUGAAAAAAAAAUUUUGAUUGAGGGGUGCCAAAACUAUUGUGACCUGAACAGCUGCAGACAAAAGUAAAGUUUUUUUAAAUAUUUA